CCUACGGGAGGCAGCAGUGGGGAAUAUUGCGCAAUGGGGGAAACCCUGACGCAGCAACGCCGCGUGAGUGAGGAAGGACUUCGGUCUGUAAAGCUCUGUUAAUGAGGAAAAAUGGUAGUUGGUCUAAUAGGCCGAUUAUUUGAUGGUACUCAUAGAGGAAGCACCGGCUAACUUCGUGCCAGCAGCCGCGGUAAUACGAAGGGUGCAAGCGUUGUUCGGAUUUAUUGGGCGUAAAGCGCGCGUAGGCGGACCUGCAAGUAAGAUGUGAAAUCUCGAGGCUCAACCUCGAAACUGCGUCUUAAACUACAGGUCUAGAAUCUCGGAGGGGGAAGGGGAAUUUCGCAUGUAGGGGUAAAAUCCGUAGAUAUGCGAAGGAACACCAGAGGCGAAGGCGCCUUCCUGGACGAGUAUUGACGCUGAGGCGCGAAAGCGUGGGGAUCAAACAGGAUUAGAUACCCUGGUAGUCCACGCUGUAAACGAUGAACACUAGGUAUUGGAGGAUUUGACCCCUUCAGUGCCGUAGCUAACGCGUUAAGUGUUCCGCCUGGGAAGUACGGUCGCAGACUAAACUUAAGGAAUUGACGG
rnacentral:rRNA from 1 species